GCCUCUAUAGCUCUGUGGUAGAGCGUCAGUCUUGUACACUGAAGGUCUGUAGUAGUUCGAUCCUGCAUUGGGGCA